UGUUUGAUGUUCUAACGUGGACCCGUUACCCGGGUUGCGGACAGUGUCUGGUGGGUAGUUUGACUGGGGCGGUCUCCUCCUAAAGAGUAACGGAGGAGCACGAAGGUUGGCUAAUCCUGGUCGGACAUCAGGAGGUUAGUGCAAUGGCAUAAGCCAGCUUGACUGCGAGCGUGACGGCGCGAGCAGGUGCGAAAGCAGGUCAUAGUGAUCCGGUGGUUCUGAAUGGAAGGGCCAUCGCUCAACGGAUAAAAGGUACUCCGGGGAUAACAGGCUGAUACCGCCCAAGAGUUCAUAUCGACGGCGGUGUUUGGCACCUCGAUGUCGGCUCAUCACAUCCUGGGGCUGAAGUAGGUCCCAAGGGUAUGGCUGUUCGCCAUUUAAAGUGGUACGCGAGCUGGGUUUAGAACGUCGUGAGACAGUUCGGUCCCUAUCUGCCGUGGGCGCUGGAGAACUGAGGGGGGCUGCUCCUAGUACGAGAGGACCGGAGUGGACGCAUCACUGGUGUUCGGGUUGUCAUGCCAAUGGCACUGCCCGGUAGCUAAAUGCGGAAGAGAUAAGUGCUGAAAGCAUCUAAGCACGAAACUUGCCCCGAG
rnacentral:rRNA from 1 species